UACGAAGGGUGCAAACGUUGCUCGGAAUUAUUGGGCGUAAAGCGCACGUAGGCGGCUUUGUAAGUCGGAUGUGAAAUCCCUCGGCUUAACCAAGGAAGUGCAUCCGAAACUACAGAGCUUGAGUACUUAAGAGGAUCGCGGAAUUCCCGGUGUAGAGGUGAAAUUCGUAGAUAUCGGGGAGGAACACCAGUGGCGAAGGCGGGCAUCUGGGCCAACACUGACGCUGAGGCGCGAAAGCUAGGGGAGCAAACAGG
rnacentral:rRNA from 1 species